rnacentral:lncRNA from 1 species
GUUUAACCCUUGGUACAGCUGAAAUUUAGUCCUGAUCGUGGAGAAGUCCUGAAUCAGGGAUAAGGAACUGAGGUAACUCAAGCAAGUCAUUUGGGAUUUCAUAAUUUUGUUUCAUUUUUUCCUCGUGAAAUUGUCUUCACUAAGGGCAGAUGAAGGAGCCACUUGAAAUGAGUUCCAUGUCAAUGGAGGACGCCUGCCACAGCAUGGCUUGACAAGUGGUGCAUAUGUCCACACCCAGGAUCCGAACCAGCGAACCCCAGGCCGUUGAAGCAGAAUGUGUGAACUUAACCGCUGUGCCACUGGGCUGGCCCCUGCAAUAUGUUCUUGAUGUAGUUCAAGCAAUAUUUGAAGUUUCAGUGGAAGCUUUUGAAUCUCACUUCCAAGGUGUAGAUUGUUACAUGGUAAACAUGCUUGCUCAGGCUGAUGCCUUUUUAUUAGAACUGUAUGCUCUUUAUUCUGUUGAUUUUCUUCACGUGUCUUAAAUAUGUCCUUAUUUUUCUCCUUCAAGCCUUUCUAAGUAAACGGCAUCAAUGAGUUUCUUCAAAUCAACUUCUGAUUCAUAGUCUAGGUAAUCUCUAUUUGCUGAUCUACUCUUUUUGUCUAAUUUCAAGUUACCCUCAUGUAAUGUUUCUAGAAAGAACAGGCUUUAGUUCAGUUUCAGAUACUUUGACUGGCUCUCCUUAUCACUGACAUCUUGUUUCAUUCAUGGAUUCAAGUCCUAAAACAUUUUUUUUUCUGUCUCUUCAGUUCCUGCAC